rnacentral:rRNA from 1 species
GACGAACGCUGGCGGCGUGCUUAACACAUGCAAGUCGAACUAAGUGGCGAACGGGUGAGUAACUCGUAAUCAACCUGCCCUUCAGCGUGGGACAACAGUUGGAAACGACUGCUAAUACCGCAUACUGCAGCAUGGGCUUGCGUCUGGUUAGCUAGUUGGAGGGGUAACGGCCCACCAAGGCGAUGAUCAGUAGCCGGGCUGAGAGGAGGAACGGGAAAAGUGGGACUGAGACAAGGCCCAGAAUCCUAGGGGAGGCAGCAGUGGGGAAUCGUACGCAAUGGACGAAAGUCUGACGGAGAAACGCCGCGUGAGUGAUGACGGCCUUCGGGUUGUAAAGCUCUGUUAAUCGGGACGCGGUACCGGAAUAGAAAGCCACGGCUAACUACGUGCCAGCAGCCGCGGUAAUUC